UCGUCAGGUGGGAUAAUCCUUACCUGUUUCUCCGCAUGGAGAACAGAUUGGAAAAUGAUGAUUGGAGUUUGCAUGACACGUGAUUAUACGUUUCUGCGUAAUCAGGAUUUGCAACACCCUGAUUACUCCUAUCUGAU